rnacentral:rRNA from 1 species
UACGUAGGGGGGCAAGCGUUUGUCCGGAAUCAUUGGGCGUAAAGCGCGUGUAGGCGGCUCGGUAAGUCUGCUGUGAAAGUCCAGGGCUCAACCCUGGGAUGCCGGUGGAUACUGUCGAGCUCGAGUCCGGAAGAGGCGAGUGGAAUUCCUGGUGUAGCGGUGAAAUGCGCAGAUAUCAGGAGGAACACCAGUGGCGAAGGCGGCGACCUGGGUAGAUACUGACGCUGGAGGUGCGAAAGCGUGGGGGAGCAAACAGG